GAAACAAGAGAGUGUGAGAAUUGUCACGUGAUCUCGAUGACGCAACAGUAUUAACCACUGUAUUUAAGGCUUUUCUUUUGGCAAUUGUGACAAAUAUUUGUGCCAGAUGGUUUUCAUACAUCAUGUGAUGUACAAAACACGUCAUUCUUUUAUUAAGAAAGAGAACCUGACUUCAGUAUCCUAGCGUACUUAGUAAUCAAUAGUUUCGUAAAGUUGUUCUUGUUUGUAUACUUUGAGUGCGUGUUGUAAUUAUAUUAUAGUUGAUAGUGGAGUAUAAUUAUGAAGCUGAAGAUCAAAGUAACAUAUUGUGGUGCCUGAGGGUACGAGCCCAAGUUCCAGAAACUUCAAAAGGAACUUGAGCAGAAAUUUCCUGGAAAGUUAGACAUUGUAAGUUACUACUUCAUGCAUUUGUGAUUUGCAAAAAGGUUGU